UUUUUGUUUUUUUUCCACUGGGAGAACAAUGCCUGGCACAUGUUAGGUAUUUAAUAGCUAUGUAAUAACUAAAAAAGAGAUCAGGAGGGCUUUUGUGUAGUCUGCUUCGAAAUUUUAAAAGAAAUACUGUUACUGGCAUUUGUUUCCAGUUCAGAAAAACAAUCGUCCUUGUCAUUGUGGGGAUUUCUGCAAAGGUUUUGGAAGUAUCAAGUGUGGUAUUAGAUGGCUGUGAUCAAACAAGAAUGUCCAAUGCAAUUUCCAGCUUUUCCUUUGUUCCAAGGCAGAGCAGUACACAGAGCUGGAUAAGUGGACUCUUCUUUGUGCAGAUGGAGAACAUAUCCCUUACAAAGUACCUAAAGCCCUAAAGUGGCUUCCUUUGUUAAUGCAGAUGACCCUAAAGGCUUCUGAAACACUUAGCUCUUAGGAAAUGUUAGUCUGUUUUUCUCUAUGGAGCCUACAGUACCCAUGCUCUCACUUUUGGUUUACUUUGUUUAUAUUCUCUUGAUAAAUUGAUUUUGACUAAUAAUAGUGCAGCAAAGAUUUUAUCUGAUCAAUACAGCAUAGGACGCCAUUCUGAAGGUAGAUUCAAAGAGUCCUGCAGCCCUGUUACAAGGAAUCUAGGUAAAGGAAAUUUUAAGAUUCUGGGUUUUUUGUGGGGUUUUUUUUGCCUUUUCUAGGGCUGCUCCCACGGCAUAUGGAGGUUGAAAGAUGAAAAAUCUGCUUCCCUGUUGCCAUUUCACAAAUAUGCCAAGGCAGUACCAUAUUAGUCACUAAGACAGAUAUUUCCCUUAUAAAUUGUCAAAUAUGUUGUAAAAUAUCCAUUUUUACAAGGCAAGCAAUAAGGCCAUAUUUAUUUUUUAAAUGGCCCAUCAACGUUUUUAUUUCUUUGGAAUCGUCUCAUGAAAAAAAAAAAAAUUUACUCUCAAUAAUGGUCUAAAGAGAAGCCUGCAUGAAGCAAUGCGGUGUUACUCAUCCUUUUUAAAAAAGGUGUUGAGUGACCUCUGGAGGCAAGUGGGGGAAAGUAUCAUCCUGCUUUCAGGAAUGAAAUGGGGAGAUUUGGAAAGCAGAUUUCUUUUCAUCUAGAGAAAAAAAUUUUUUGAGGUUUAAUCAGAGUGAAUUAAAAUGUUUAACUUUAGAAUUAGUUUACUGAAUCUCAAUUCAAUUAUGUAACAUUUUUUUCAUUUUUAAAAAAGUUUUACUCAAGUAUAGUUGACCUAUAAUGUUGUGAUAAUUUCUGCUAUACAACAAAGUGAUUUCAGUUAUACCAUACACACACCCAAUAUCUUUCAGAUUCUUCUCCCCCAUAGAUUAUCACAAAAUAUUGGGUAGGGUUCUCUGUGCUAUAGAGAAGUUGCCUGUUGGCCAAUCAAUUAUACAAUAUUUAUUAAGGAUAUAAUACAAUGCUACAAGGGAGAUAGAAACAUAAGAUCCACAGUUUCCAUCUCAUGGAGUUUACAAUCUACUAGGGGACAAAAGAUAAGUGCU
rnacentral:lncRNA from 1 species